AACGCACAUUGCGCCCUCCAGUAUUCUGGUGGGCAUGCCUGUCCGAGCGUCAUUUCAACCCUCAGGCCCGGCCUGGUGUUGGGGAUUGGCCCCCGCGGCCAGCCCCGAAAUGCAGUGGCGGCCCUCCGCAACUCCUCUGUGCAGUAGUGAUACCGCAUUGGACCGUGACGGAGGGAACUACAGCCAUCAACCCCCCACUUCUCAAGGUUGACCUCGGAUCAGGUAGGAAUACCCGCUGAACUUAA
rnacentral:misc_RNA from 1 species